rnacentral:rRNA from 1 species
CCUACGGGGGGCAGCAGUGAGGAAUAUUGGUCAAUGGGCGGAAGCCUGAACCAGCCAAGUCGCGUGAGGGAUUAAGGCCCUGCGGGUCGUAAACCUCUUUUGCAGGGGAGCAGAGGUCCGGACGUGUCCGGGCCGGGAGAGUACCCGGAGAAAAAGCAUCGGCUAACCCCGUGCCAGCAGCCGCGGUAAUACGGGGGAUGCGAGCGUUAUCCGGAUUUAUUGGGUUAAAAGGGUCCGUAGGCGGGCAUUAAAGCCGGCGGUCAAAUGUCGGGGCUCAACCCAGGCCUGCCGUCGGAACUGGGUGCCUUGAGUGGGCGAGAGGUAUGCGGAAUGCGUGGUGUAGCGGUGAAAUGCAUAGAUAUCACGCAGAACCCCGAUUGCGAAGGCAGCAUACCGGCGCCCUACUGACGCUGAGGCACGAAAGUGCGGGUAUCGAACAGGAUUAGAUACCCGGGUAGUC